CUAAAGGAAAGGCCCAAGGCUGCAGGCCUGAGAUUAGUUUGGCAGCAGCUCCAAAGAGCAGCCCUUCAAUCGCAGGGAUUGAGCCCUUAAAAGUCCUGGCUGCCUCCCACCAGCCCUGCUAAUGGGGCUGAGCUGUUGGAGCCCUGACCUCUGUCUACCCGCCUGAUGAUCUGCUGCUCUGAAUCUCACUUCCGCAGCACCCAGGAGGACCAGAGACUCGGUCUAGCUUAUGUGCUCCAUGGCCUUGCAUGUUUUCAGCACCUACUGUGCGCAGCAUCGCCGCGCCUCCCCAUCCCCCUGCCUGCUGUUACUCUCACCAGCGCGCCCAGUCACGGGCUAAUUAGUGGUUAAUUAGUCAUAGGCUAAUCAGUGGUUAGGGCUACAGUAUGUAUGCAUGGUGGGGUGCAGACAGUGGGGUGGCCGGCGGGUGACGGUGCGGGUGGAAGAGAACAGGAGAGACGAGGCCGUGGUCUGACCUUCCUCCAAAAAGCCCGGAAUCCCUGAGUCUGUCUGUGGCAGCUGUGGAACAGAGGGAGCAUGGGAUCUGAACCGUGCCGCCAUCUGGGAGAGCACACACACAGCCAAACCCCGGAAGGAAACUCGAGCUGAAAUAUACCGUUUGCUAAGGAGCCGGUCCGGGCACUGGUUUCUCUGCGUUCUGAAUUUCUAGAAAGGGAAAACUCUCCCUUGCCAGGCGACGUCUACCACCCCUUCCCACUGCGGCCCCUCCAGUCCGCACCCCUUCGCCUCCUAGACCCCCUGUGAGGACCCUCAGCAAACUUCCGCAAGGCCUGACGAGCCCUGGGUGCGGGGUGGUGUGGACGCAGAUCUUUCGGGCCGAGGGGAAGGCUGCGGGGGUGUGGGCGUGGAGGUGCCAGGAGCGCGCAGCCUCCGCCUGCCCGGCUGUCUCCGCGGACCCCACCGAGGGUGGGAGAGAAGCGCUGGGAAAAGGAAGGGGAGAAGGAGCCCGAGCGGGAGGCGAGCGAGCGGUUCUUUCGCUCCUCCCAAAGAGCGGGGCGGCUCCGCUGUGCUCCUGACAACCCGGCCGCCGCCGCCCUGCUACCGCUCCCCGGGACCCGUCGGCGCUGACACUGGUGACCCGCUGCGGGGGCGCGGGGCGCGCUGGACACUGGCCGCCGGCUCUCGGGCCCGCUCCUGUCGCAGGCUUCCGCUGCUUCCACGACCCUCCCUCAGCCGCGAGAAGAGGUGCUCUGGCGACCUCGGGCCUUCCCUGGGGGUCUGCGCCGGCCCCUACCCCAACCCGCCCAGGGAAGAGGCGCGAAGGGGUGGGCCGCGAUGCGGAGGCGGGAAACUCAGGCGAGAUGCGAGGCUGGAGAACACGACGCAUGGAGGCGCGGGGUGGACCCCCAGUGUACUCCAGGAGCCGGCAGGAGCUAAACCCCAGCCUGCAACCCAGAGCCAAGCACAGACUCAUGUAGCAUAA
ensembl:lncRNA